GAACAAGGAAAAUCCAACUGUUUAAUUAAAAAAAACAUUGUUAUGGUCCCAACGGAUGUUCAUGUAAUGUGGUUUCUUCCCAGUGCUCUAAAUGUCAAAGUGAAAAAAUUCAACCAAGCGUAGGUAAAUAGCGGGAGUAACUACGACUCUGUUAAGGUAGACAAAUGCUUCGUCAUCUAAUUAGUAACGUACAUGAAUGGAUUGAUGAUAUUCCC
rnacentral:ncRNA from 1 species